AGCGAACGCUGGCGGCAGGCCUAACACAUGCAAGUCGAACGGGCUCCUCGGAGCUAGUGGCGGACGGGUGAGGAACACGUGGGAACGUGCCUUUAGGUUCGGAAUAAGCCCGGGAAAACGGGUCUAAUACCGAAUGCGCCCUUCGGGGGAAAGAUUUAUCGCCUGUAGAGCGGCCCGCGUCUGAUUCGCUUGUUGGUGAGGUAAUGGCUCACCAAGGCGACGAUCAGUAGCUGGUCUGAGAGGAUGACCAGCCACAUUGGGACUGAGACACGGCCCAAACUCCUACGGGAGGCAGCAGUGGGGAAUCUUGCGCAAUGGGCGAAAGCCUGACGCAGCCAUGCCGCGUGGAUGAUGAAGGUCUUAGGAUUGUAAAAUCCUUUCACCGGUGAAGAUAAUGACUGUAGCCGGAGAAGAAGCCCCGGCUAACUUCGUGCCAGCAGCCGCCGUAAUAC
rnacentral:rRNA from 1 species